UACGGAGGGUGCAAGCGUUAUCCGGAUUCACUGGGUUUAAAGGGUGCGUAGGUGGGAUGGUAAGUCAGUGGUGAAAUCUCCAAGCUUAACUUGGAAACUGCCGUUGAUACUAUCAUUCUUGAAUCUCGUGGAGGUAAGCGGAAUAUGUCAUGUAGCGGUGAAAUGCUUAGAUAUGACAUAGAACACCGAUAGCGAAGGCAGCUUGCUAAACUCUUACUGACGCUGAGGCACGAAAGCAUGGGGAUCAAACAGG
rnacentral:rRNA from 1 species